CAAAGCUUCAAGGGAAGAGUGGGCUCUUCUGCCUUUGCUCAACUUCUACUGGUGCUUUGAUAGAGUUCCCCACCUCCCUUUCUUUGUUUCUCCCUUUCUCUCCUAAAGGGUCACCGGGUGCCAAGAGAGAUGGUAUUUUCAAGGCAGAUGGUUUAUAUGCAUUAUCACCCAUUAUCCCUCCUACUGGACUCCCAAAACGUCCCAGAAGCUUGUGGAGGCUGCUUUGGCAGCAGUCAGGCAAGAAUGAGGAGGGAGCCCUCAUCCUGACCUUGAGAAGGAACAGACCAGGAAGAUCAAUUUGACACCUGAGUGGAGGAUGCAUUGGAAUGAGAAGAGACCUGAGGCAGGCAGACCUGCAAGUUGCUACAAGUUCUUUAUUUGAAUCAUUUUAUCU
rnacentral:lncRNA from 1 species